rnacentral:rRNA from 2 species
GGACUACACGGGUUUCUAAUCCUGUUUGCUCCCCUAGCUUUCGUGCCUCAGUGUCAGGAGUUGUCCAGGGACUCGCCUUCGCCACUGGUGUUCCACUUGAUAUCUACGCAUUUCACUGCUACACCAAGUAUUCCAGUCCCCCCUCCAACCCUCGAGCAAGGUAGUUUCCAAUGCCAUUUCCAAGUUAAGCUUGGAGAUUUCACAUCAGACUUACCUCGCCACCUACGCACCCUUUACGCCCAGUGAAUCCGAACAACGCUCGGGACCUCUGUAUUACCGCGGCUGCUGGCAC